rnacentral:rRNA from 1 species
UGAGGAAUAUUGCACAAUGGGCGCAAGCCUGAUGCAGCAACGCCGCGUGAGGGACGAGGGCCUUCGGGUCGUAAACCUCUUUUCUGGGGACGAGUAAGGACGGUACCCCAGGAAUAAGUCUCGGCUAACUACGUGCCAGCAGCCGCGGUAAAACGUAGGAGGCGAGCGUUAUCCGGAUUUACUGGGCGUAAAGCGUACGCAGGUGGCUUCGUUAGUCGGACAUGAAAGCUCCUGGCUUAACUGGGAGAGGUUGUUCGAUACUGCGGGGCUUGAGGUUGGGAGAGGGACGUGGAAUUCCCGGUGUAGUGGUGGAAUGCGUAGAUAUCGGGAGGAACACCAGUGGCGCAAGCGGCGUCCUGGCCCACACCUGACGCUGAGGUACGAAAGCGUGGGUAGCAAACAG